AGAAGGCCUGAUGUGUGUGAGAUUACC
rnacentral:rRNA from 3 species